GACCCUGGAUUGUGUCAGCAUUCCUCUGGGCCUCUCUCUGCUUAUCAAAGUCCAGACCCUUUGGUGUGGGCUGACGGAUGCCUGGUGUGCUUUUCCAAGGUGGGCUAGUGAGACAGAAGACAGUAGAGGUGGGAGAGGAACAUAAAGAACUUGCCAGCAUUUGGCCCUCAUCCAACCUCACUGCCAGAGGGUAUCAGGACUUCCUUGUAGAUGGAUAAGGAGGCAGAGGUUGGACUCCCUUGCUCAGGACGACUCAGCCAUUAGUAGAGGAGUCAAGAUUUGAACCAGGACCUAUGACACCAAGUCUGGCUCUCUUUCUAUAAUGCCAUAAUUAUUUUUAUGAUAGUUGAGGGUGAAAAGGUAGAAGUCGGCUGGUCAGUCAUUGGGUCCUUCUCUGGGCACGACUAGCAUGAUCUCCUGUCUGCCACAAGGACCCAAAAGAGUUAGAAUAAACUCUUUUUCAGCUUUUCAUCUCUGACAGUGCGCAGCAUAGUACCUGACAUGUGAAACAGAUCAUUACAGUAUUUACUGGACAUACUUGAGUUGUUGGAUUGAUAUUUUUAGAAGAAUCAUCAUUGCAUUCCAAGAGGCCUUGUGAAGUCUUCGUGGGGCUAGGGUCCUGCAGACACAGCAAUCAAGUGAAAUCAAGGAAAGGGGUUUUCCGGACGCCACUGUUCACGCCCAGAUUCCUGGCAGGCCCUGAGCACGAGUUCACCAAUGCUCCACUGUGUCUGGUAUCUGAAUCACGCUCAGUCUUGAAUCCAUGGCCGAAGGAGAUGGCAGCUUCCGGCAGGCAUCUCUGAGAGGAGAGAAUUUCCACUGAGGUUUGCGCAUGGCAACCAUCCAUCCUGGAUUUUCUGGCACGGUCCCAAUUUUAUGUCUUUCGUUCAGAAGGCACAUGCCUGGUGGGGUAAUGCGUCCUGCUCUUGAAUUUGGAAAAUAUGGUCACAGCAGGCACGUGGAAGGUGCCUUUUAUUGCUUCCUGCUGUAGAUCAAAAGUAGAGGGGUGGGACUGCCCAGGGGAGCCUGCUUUACCCCAGCAAGGGAGGGACCCCAGGGCUCAUGAGUCAUUCUGUUAUUCUGGUGAGGUCAGGAAGCUGGGGGCAGCUUCCCCAGAGAGAACCAACUGGAGCAGGGCUGCAUCCCGAGAACUGGGUUCUGGAAAAGCUACAGAAAGUGAUAACAGGAAAGAAAAGGAGCAGAGGCAGAAACUGGAUCUCAUUGCACAAAGGAAGGAGGGGACCCAAGGGCUCCUUGUGACACAGGAAGGAGCACAUUUGGGGAAGUGAGAGCUCUCUCUGCAGAUCCUUCAGAAUCGAGGCCAACCGAGGACCCCCAGCAGCCGGCCGAGCUACGGAGCACUUACCCCUCGCAAGACCAUUGCUUCGCUCCAAGGGGAACCCAACGGGCUGACUGCACAAGAGGGCAGCUCGACAGUGUCAGUUUUCCUCAGUCCAGUAAAUGGUUUUCGAUUCUACCCACUUCCUUCCUUCAUUCGUUCACUCAGUCUGAUGUGUACUGAGCAACG